rnacentral:rRNA from 1 species
UACGUAGGGGGCAAGCGUUGUCCGGAAUCAUUGGGCGUAAAGAGCUUGUAGGCGGUUUGUCGCGUCUGCUGUGAAAUUUCGGGGCUCAACCCCGAACUUGCAGUGGGUACGGGCAGACUAGAGUGUGGUAGGGGAGACUGGAAUUCCUGGUGUAGCGGUGAAAUGCGCAGAUAUCAGGAGGAACACCGGUGGCGAAGGCGGGUCUCUGGGCCGUAACUGACGCUGAGGAGCGAAAGCGUGGGGAGCGAACAGG